UACGAAGGGGCAAGCGUUGUUCGGAAUUACUGGGCGUAAAGGGCGCGUAGGCGGCUUAUCAAGUCAGGCGUGAAAUUCCCGGGCUCAACCUGGGGCUGCGCUUGAUACUGAUUGGCUUGAAUGCGGGAGAGGAUAGUGGAAUUCCCAGUGUAGAGGUGAAAUUCGUAGAUAUUGGGAAGAACACCGGUGGCGAAGGCGGCUAUCUGGCCCGUAAUUGACGCUGAGGCGCGAAAGCGUGGGGAGCAAACAGGG
rnacentral:rRNA from 1 species